rnacentral:rRNA from 1 species
AUUGAACGCUGGCGGCAGGCCUAACACAUGCAAGUCGAGCGGAUGAAGGGAGCUUGCUCCUGGAUUCAGCGGCGGACGGGUGAGUAAUGCCUAGGAAUCUGCCUGGUAGUGGGGGAUAACGUCCGGAAACGGGCGCUAAUACCGCAUACGUCCUGAGGGAGAAAGUGGGGGAUCUUCGGACCUCACGCUCUCAGAUGAGCCUAGGUCGGAGUAGCUAGUUGGUGGGGUAAAGGCCUACCAAGGCGACGAUCCGUUACUGGUCGGAGAGGAUGAUCAGUCACACUGGAACUGAGACACGGUCCAGGCUCCUACGGGAGGCAGCAGUGGGGAAUAUUGGACAGUGGGCGAGAGCCUGAUCCAGCCGUGCCGCGUGUGUGAAGAAGGUCUUCGGAUUGUAAAGCACUUUAAGUUGGGAGGAAGGGCAGUAAGUUAAUACCUUGCUGUUUUGACGUUACCAACAGAAUAAGCACCGGCUAACUUCGUG